AGUGAACGCUGGCGGUAGGCCUAACACAUGCAAGUCGAACGGCAGCACAGUAAGAGCUUGCUCUUACGGGUGGCGAGUGGCGGACGGGUGAGGAAUACAUCGGAAUCUACUUUUUCGUGGGGGAUAACGUAGGGAAACUUACGCUAAUACCGCAUACGACCUACGGGUGAGAGCAGGGGAUCUUCGGACCUUGCGCGAUUGAAUGAGCCGAUGUCGGAUUAGCUAGUUGGCGGGGUAAAGGCCCACCAAGGCGACGAUCCGUAGCUGGUCUGAGAGGAUGAUCGGCCACACUGGAACUGAGACACGGUCCAGACUCCUACGGGAGGCAGCAGUGGGGAAUAUUGGACAAUGGGCGCAAGCCUGAUCCAGCCAUACCGCGUGGGUGAAGAAGGCCUUCGGGUUGUAAAGCCCUUUUGUUGGGAAAGAAAAGCAGCAGGUUAAUACCCCGCUGUUCUGACGGUACCCAAAGAAUAAGCACCGGCUAACUUCGUG
rnacentral:rRNA from 1 species